GAUGAACGCUGGCGGCGUGCCUAAUACAUGCAAGUCGAGCGAACAGACGAGGAGCUUGCUCCUUUGACGUUAGCGGCGGACGGGUGAGUAACACGUGGAUAACCAACCUAUAAGACUGGGAUAACUUCGGGAAACCGGAGCUAAUACCGGAUAACAUGUUGAACCGCAUGGUUAAACAGUGAAAGACGGUCUUGCUGUCACUUAUAGAUGGAUCCGCGCCGCAUUAGCUAGUUGGUAAGGUAACGGCUUACCAAGGCAACGAUGCGUAGCCGACCUGAGAGGGUGAUCGGCCACACUGGAACUGAGACACGGUCCAGACUCCUACGGGAGGCAGCAGUAGGGAAUCUUCCGCAAUGGGCGAAAGCCUGACGGAGCAACGCCGCGUGAGUGAAGAAGGUCUUCGGAUCGUAAAACUCUGUUAUUAGGGAAGAACAAAUGUGUAAGUAACUAUGCACGUCUUGACGGUACCUAAUCAGAAAGCCACGGCUAACUACGUG
rnacentral:rRNA from 1 species